CACGUAGGGUGCGAGCGUUGUCCGGAAUUAUUGGGCGUAAAGAGCUCGUAGGCGGUGUGUCGCGUCGGCCGUGAAAACCUGUGGCUUAACUAUGGGCUUGCGGUCGAUACGGGCAUCACUGGAGUUCGGCAGGGGAGACUGGAAUUCCUGGUGUAGCGGUGAAAUGCGCAGAUAUCAGGAGGAACACCGGUGGCGAAGGCGGCGACCUGGGUAGAUACUGACGCUGAGGCGCGAAAGCGUGGGGGAGCAAACAGG
rnacentral:rRNA from 1 species